AUCACCAGAGUAACCUAAACGUCAAGUCAUGAGAAGCUUUGAGUGAACUACAGUUUUUUACUGCCCACGAGGAGGGAAUUCACCAGUUAUCUCCUUACAGUAUUCACCGUGAUUAAAGAAAUGGAAGGUGCACUACUGACUUCUGAGGCGGGAUGUCUGCAUAUUGAGUCACUAUGAGUCCAGGAGCUGAUCCUUACUCUAGGGGCUAUUCUAAAGCCCCCAUAGGAUCCAGAUGGGAAAAUAUACAAAGAGCAUAAACUUUGGGAUACAAAGAUCAGAAUCAGCAUGCCACAUCUUGGCUGUAUAAUCUGAAAGAAGGUUCUUUCCAGCUGGUCUUUCUAUCUUGAAUCUUGCAUUUGAAUAGACUUUGGAUAGUCCCACUCAUCAGCUGGACCUGCCCAACCAGGUCUGAUCCACAUUAAUGUGGGCAACUACUAGAAAACAAAUAAGCAGCUUCUAGGAAGC